UGCUAAUUGCAUAAGUGGGUUAAGUCUUAAGUACCCAUCAAUCAAAAUUGAAUCAUCCAUUAUAAUAGAGUAAAGAUCACGCCAUAGAAUUAUGAUUUUCUAGGAAAUUGGUUUCCGCACCCCAAAUAAGAAAGAUAAUAGGUAAUCUACAUAAAAUUCGAAAAGACAUUUUCCACAAAAAUCAAUUGGUACUACUCCUUAAGUUUAUAUAAAGUGGUAUUAUCCUUUUCUUUUUCUCAAAUAUGGAACAACUCAUAUGUGGGCAAUAAUGGUUACUUCAACAUUCUCCGUCCCAUGUGCCCACUUCAUAAGAGGAAAGUAGAACCUUUGUCGGGUGAUUUUUGUAACUCGGGGUCGUGCAGUGACGCUUGCAGCAGGAGGAUCAUAGCUUGACAUGACAGGUAUAAAAGCUUCUUUUGCUUUGCAUUGGGGGUAAAAGCGGAGUACGGUCGAAACAAUUGUGUACAAGUUGCUUAAUGCUUGUAGCUUCUAUAUUACUUGUAAAUUUUUCUUUUGGGUUUGUAUAAUUUCUUUCGUAUGGAGCCAUGUGACUCCUUGUAUGAUCCAUAGUUUCGUAAUUUUUGGAUGUAUAUAGUGAGAAUUCUCCUUUAGUAGCCAUCAAAUCGACGCGUUAACACUGGAACCACGAUCCUCGUUAGAGUUGAUGAUUUGAGAAGCAGACGAUGAGUCAUUCCGUCGUGACGUAUCUUUGAAAGGCACUAAAGGCCUUAGAUUAGUUUAGUUAUGCUAUCCAUUAUAUCCUUGUCACAUCCUCAGUUUUUAGUAGAAUGAUGCCGAAAUUUUCACU